rnacentral:rRNA from 1 species
CUACGGGUCGCUGCCGUGAGGAAUAUUGCACAAUGGGGGGAACCCUGAUGCAGCAACGCCGCGUGGAGGAUGACGCAUUUCGGUGUGUAAACUCCUUUUAUAUGUCAAGAAAAUGACGGUAGCAUAUGAAUAAGCACCGGCUAACUCCGUGCCAGCAGCCGCGGUAAUACGGAGGGUGCAAGCGUUACUCGGAAUCACUGGGCGUAAAGGACGCGUAGGCUGUUUAGCAAGUCAGAUGUGAAAUCCAAUGGCUCAACCAUUGAACUGCAUUUGAAACUGCUAGACUAGAGUAUGGGAGGGGCAGAUGGAAUUAGUGGUGUAGGGGUAAAAUCCGUAGAUAUCACUAGGAAUACCUAAAGCGAAGGCGAUCUGCUGGAACAUUACUGACGCUAAGGCGUGAAAGCGUGGGGAGCAAACAGGAUUAGAUACCCGUGUAGUC